ACUUGCUUCCCUGGUUCUCCGUCGUCGGCUGUCUGCCCAUUGUUUCUGAAGGAGUGGAGGGGGCAGUCACGCUGUCUUUAGAGCCUCCCCCGGGGCUGCAGGCGGGAGCCGAGAGAGGUUUUGCUUGAGGACAAACUUUUAGAGGUGACUCGGGGUAGCGAUGGAAUCUCAGGCCCUCCAGUAGCCAAGGGACUGACUGAGUCCAGAGCUGGUACUGUAGGGGCCAGGGGAGCCGAGCUGGGCCGAUUUCUCGCGGAACCCGAGCCCAUCAGUCUCCGUAGACCCCGUCUGCUCCAUUUACCUUCUAUUGUCGCCUGGUCUCCGGAAUGGUACUUUCUUGGAGUGCCCAGCAUCCUCCACCAAACAGCCUUCUCUCCGGUUCCCUUCCCUCCCAUGGCGGAAUUGUCCUGUGGCCAGGUGGGCCUCUGCUCCAGACUUUGCAGCACCCUUCCAAGCCCUCCCACAAAGGCCUGCCUGCUCAGACCCGAGGAGAACACAUAAGAUCUGGUUGUCCCCUAAAAAAUACUCUGUUUCCGGUGGAUUGAAGGUCGCAGGCUUGAGGUGGCCACCGGAGCCCCUGGGAGCUCCACUGCCCCCUCCUUUACCCGGGAGUCUGAGUAGCUUGCAACAUGCUGGCGCCAGUCUGAAGAAGGCCACCCCUGAGGAACCACUGAGCUUCCUGGCCUGGAGGCUGCCUGAGUGUGCAUGCCACAGCAUACAUGUGGAGGUCAGAGGAAGGCUUGAGGGGAUCGGUUUUCUCCUUCCAUCAUCUGGGUCCUGGACAGAACUCAGGUCAUCAGGAUUGGUGGAAGGACUCAGGAGGUGGACGGAAGGUCACAUGUCUGGAAGAACAGAAACUUGGAAGAUUCUCUAGGCCCCUUCCCAGCAGUAUGGAAAGGAUUGCCAAGGGGAGGAGACUCUGACCAGUCCGUCUGCAGAGAGGGGAGACGCUUGGACCAUCAGCUGCCUGCAAGCUGUGCAGAGCUACAGGGUUGCAGCUUUUCUGAGCCAUGACCACAGUGGGUGGGCUCUUUGGUGAUGUAGCUGCUUUGGAAUCCUCCUGCUCUGUCUUUGUAAGUAACCCCUCACCAAGACUUCCAUCAGGAAGGAACUCCAGGAAACCCACUGGUUCACCACGUUGGACUUUGCUGCAGUUGCUGCUUUGGUCUGUCUUGUGUUCCCAUUCUCAAGAAAGAUCUGCCCCACAACAGAGAAGUAGAGGCAGGCAGAUCCCUGUGACUUUGAGGUCAGCCUGGUCUACCUAACGAGUUACAGGGCAUCCAGGACUACCUAAUGAGAUUCUGUCUCAAACAGAGAGAAAAAGGUGGGUGACACUUGGGGACCUCUCACACCUGUACAUACAUUUCCCCAAACACACACAAAACAACAACAAAUCAAUAAUACUCAUUCUAAAUAUCUAUUUUGUGCAGUAAGGCAAUGAGGAAAUUUUCAGAUAUAGCAUGGACUAGGACAUUUAUCAUGCAAAAAUAGAAUAUUAAUGCCACAGUAAGAAUACAAGUCCAGACAUUUCUCCCAAUGUGAUAUGAGUCUGAGACAUCAAAGCUUAGCAAGGCUGAACCACAUGCCUAAGGUCACACAGCCCACACGUGUCAGAGCUGGGCCUGGAAGUCAGGUCACUGUGGCUCCAAAGGCUUUUCAACUUCUACACGACCAGAAACACUGAUGGCCCUUGUCCACACCACAGAGUCUCAGAACCACAGAGUUGGCCUUCAGGGACUGAUCCAGGCCUCCACACUCACAGGGAUUUGGAGUGAGUGCUGAGGAAACCCGCCAGGGAUGGUCUGAAGAAGCCCAAAUGGCACAGGGAAGAGACCCAGAUUUCUCAGUGCUGUGAAGCAAUGUUCCCAGCAAAGACAACUUAAGCGGGUGUGUGGUGAUGGCUCACAGAUUUGAGGACACAGUCCAUCAUGGUGGAAGGAGCGUGAGGUGACGGCCACACUGCAUCUGCAAUCACAAAGCAGACAGAGAUGGAUGCUGGUGCUCAGCUCACUUUCUCCCUUUUAGUCAGCCCAGGACCCUAACCCGUGGAAUGAUGGCACACACUUAGGGCGUGUCUUGCCCCCUCCACGAACCCAGUCCAGAAGUUCCUUUACAGACAUGGCUUGUUUCCUAGGAGAUCCUAGAGCCUAUCAAGUUGAUAUCGAUAUCAACCAUCACAUUCGGUUCCUGGAAACUGCUUUGUGAAGGCCUCUAGCCCCAAAUCCUGAGCAGGCUAUGAGGAAUCGCAGGGUGGGUAGGAAGGCACCAUUGCUGGAUAGAGUGCAGAGAGCCUGAGGGGAAGGACAGGAAACUGAACAGACCUCAAGCCUGCCGUAGAUGAGGGAUUUCCUCCUGCGAUCAUGUUCCACCCGGCAUGGAGCACGGCUUACUGGCCUCAUCCUAAGGGAUUUUUCCCCCCACUUCCUUCCAAACUCUGAGACUUUGGGGUAUCCUUGCCGGAAUAAACACACAGACUCUCUACUUUGUCUGCCUCAAAAAUAGUCUCAUAGAAUGGGCAGCUCAAACAACAGAAACACAUUUUCACAAGUUCAGGAGGUUGGGAAGAUAGAUCGGGAAGCCUGAUCUCUCUCUCUCUCUCUGGUAGCCCAGGCUGCUUUCAAACCCAAAUCCUCCUUCUUUAGCCUCCAGGUUCUGGGGUUACAGGUGUGCACUCUCACACCCAGUUUAGGGUCUCUUCUUGUGAAGGUCGCAUCCAUGUGUCUUCCCUUGACUCCCUGACUCCGGCUAACGACCAAAUCCCUCCCUCUCCAUGACAGCAUAUGGAGGGGUGGCACUUCAACUUAAAAUUGGGGGGUGAAGGGAGGCACAAGCAUGCUUUCCAUAAAACCUAGUCUAUACAAACCAGAGACAACCAAGCUCAGUUUGAUGCCCAUCUGUACCUGCAAAGUCCUCACCCGCCUUUCACCCUCUGUCUGUCACUGGGACAGGUCCUGGUUGGAUGACAUAUUCCAUCUUUGCUACUACUGGCUUGCUACCACUCUGCCUCUACCUUGCAGUGGGCCCAGAUGACCCUCUGAUUGGCACUGCCUGGCUAAGCAUGUCUCUAAGACAGAUAUUUAUUCCUCAAAGGCUGGCGGUUACGUAGGCUGCUAAGGUGCCCCGGCUGACAUCUUUUAUUUGAGACUGGAAAGAUCCUUGGUGGUUCUGUGGGGGCCCCUGAGUGUCACAGAGGGCAAGCUCGUGGAUGUUUUUCUUGCUCCAUUCCCCAGUUUAGCUUGGCUUUAUGUGUGUGGGAAGGUUGUGCUGUUCAAAAUCUUGAGCUGCUACUUGGAGACUUGUGGCUGAGGGGAAUUUCUUUUCUCAUUCGAUCCAAAUCCUGCCAGAGUUAAUGAGCCUGGAGCUAAAAGCUGCACUGAAAUUGCAGUGAUGAGUUUAUUCUUGGCAAAACCUCAUUUUUCCUCUGCCUUGAGAAAAGGGUACUAAAAUGACUUAUAAGAAGUUUUUUAAAAAAGCCUUCUGCAUGUUAAAAUUCUUGGAAAACAUGUUUUUAAUGAUUUGAGUGUAGAUUAAUAAGAAACAAAUGCUUAGCAUUUGUGAAAAUAAAGUAAAAUAAAAAAGAAAGAAGGUUGGUGGGUAAAUCCCAUAUGUGACUUGCCGAGGAAGCCUGAGGGUGUGGCCGGCCCUACGGAUGUGUGUGACAGGAAGGCUGAGCCCCUGCUCAGCCACAUGUGAGACUAAUUCCUUCAAUCACUUGCGUACCAGCCAGACUGACUGAUUGCACUCACAACCAGGACCCUCUGGACAUGGAGAUGUGCCACAUCCAACAUGGCUCCCGGGAUGGACCUGACUAGGGUGUGGAGGGGAAUGGAAAAAAAGACCAACACGCAGACACAGAAAAAAGGCUGGGACUGGGGGAACAGAUCUCUGAGGGAGAAACCUCAGCACCCUGGAACCUCAGCGUAUUUAUUAUAUAGACUCGAACGGUGGGGUUAUUAUGUAGCAUUGAACAUGGAGGUGAGGUUACAGUGUACAGCUGGAUCAAGGAGGCAGCUUGGCUUAUAUCAGCAGGAGCAGUCUCUGUAGUAGAGCUGUCUUCAGGCGGUGAAUAUCGGCAGACAGAAAGGUGGACAUUUUCUGCACAUACCAUCAACAUACACACAUGGGCCAGAGGAAGGCUUUUUGGCAUCCUUCAGAUCCUCAUCCUGGGGGAUAAGCUUUGCCAUUUUUCCAUGGGUCUGAGGCUAGGGCCCUUAGCAUGGCCAGCUCAUGUCAACAACAACACACUUCCACUCAGGGUUCACACACUCAGUCUUCCUCCGCUCUCCACAAAGAAGUGAGCCAUAUUGGUGUCUGUGGUAGUUUGAAUGUAAUUGGCCCCCAUAAUCUCAUAGGGAGUGGCACUAUUAGGAGGUGUGGCUUUGUUGGAGUGGGUGUGGCCUUAUUAGAGGAAGUUUGUCACUGUGGGGGUGGGCUUUGAGGCUUCCUAUGCUCAGGAUACUACCCAGAGUUUCAGUUGAUUUCCUUUUGCCUACAAGAUGUAGGAUUCUCAGCUACUUCUCCAGCACCAUGUCUGCCUGCCAUGAUGAUAAUAGACUGAACCUCUGAACUGUAAGUGAGCCACCCCAAUUAAAUAUUUUCAUUUAUAAGAGUUGCUGUGGUCAUGGUGUCUCUUCACAGCAAUAAAAACUCUAAGACAGUGAUUCAAGGAAAUCAUGAGAGAGUCCUCCUCCAAGAAGACAUGCUGCCUUAAAGAUCCUGAGAUGUAAACUGGUGAUGUAAACUGGUGACACUUGUGAUACUUCCCCUUUGUUAGUGGCAUUUCUUUUUCAGGGUUCAGGUCUAGUGUGGUUGUUCCCUCCUUUAGAGAAUACCCCCUCCCCCUGCAGAAUAUUUCCUGUGGGAUUUGAAGCCCCUCUUGUCUUCUGUGUAUGUAACUAGGCCUGGCCAGGACUGAAUGUGGGUAGGAAGGGGACACCCACCCAGACUAUGAUGCUUAGCCCCAUUAUCAACUGUUUUAGUUUUCUGUCCAAUGCUGUGAUAAGACCCUGGCAGGAAAGCAAGUUGGGGGAAGAUAGUGUUUAUCUGGCUUGCAAGUUACAGUCCAUAAUUGAGGAAAGGCCAGGGUAGGAAUGCAGAAGCAAAGAACACGGAGGACUGCUGCUUACUGACUUGCUCUCCCUGGCUUGGCCACCAUGCUUUCUUAUGCAAUUAGACAGGGCUGCCUGUCCAUACAAGGGGUGACAUUUCCUGCAAGGGACUGAGCCCUCCCACAUCCAUCAUGAAUCAAGAAACUGCCCCACGGACAUGCCGGUAGGCCAAGCUGAUGGAGGCAGUUCCUCAACUGAGGUCCCCUCUCCCCAGGUGACUCCAGUCUGUGUCAACUUUGACAGAAACUAAUCUGCAUAUAAACUUGACCGGAUUUAUACCCCCCAGGGGAAACAAUUCUCUUGGCAUGUCUGUGUGUCUGUUUAUAGAUUAGGUUCAUGGAGGUGGGAAGGUCCACCCUAAUUCUGGGCAGCGUCACUCCCUGGGCUGGGGGUCCUGGACUGGAUAAAAUGGAGGAAGAAAGUUGAGUGCCAGCAUUCGUCUUUCUGCUUCUUGACUCGCAUGCAGAGUGACCAGUUAGUUGCCUAACACUCUUGCCGCCUCAUUCUGCGGCUGCUGUGAUGGACUGUGCCUUGUGACUGUGAGACAUAACAAACCCCCUGUCUUUAAAUUGUUUUUGCAGGUAUUUUGUGGCAGCAAAUGAAGAGUAACUGACACACACACACACACACACACACACACACACACACACACACACACACACAGAGUUAUCGAAGGGAUCUAUCCAUUUAUGAGUACCUUUAGGCCUGCGUUGUAUGGUGCUUUUUCCUCUGGUCAUAAUCUGAUGUGAGCUUUAGACAUAGUCUUGUAGCCAUGAAGACUAGAUCAGAACAGAACAGUGGUAGCCAGAUCUUUUGUAAAGGAAGGGAGUUAUGGAUAGUCCCUAGGGAGGCCAGGAAACCAGAUAGGGAUCCAGAUGUUACUCCUGCCCCCUCUACUCCAGCUGCGAGUGAUCUUGGAAGAUGCUAAAUUACAUAGAGAAGUGCAAGGUUGAUUAAAAAUGGAGUUCUGCCGUGCGGCGGUGGCGCAUGCCUUUAAUCCCAGCACUCGGGAGGCAGAGCCAGGUGGAUCUCUGUGAGUUCAAGGCCAGCCUGGUCUACAGAGCGAGAUCCAGGACAGGCACCAAAAAACUACACAGAGAAACCCUGUCUCAAAACAAACAAACAAACAAAACAAAAAAUGGAGUUCCAUAAUGCAGCUUCUAUGAGGUUGCCAUCUGUAAAGGGGUGGGAUUCUGCAGUGAUGUAGCUAGUUGAAGAGGAUCAUUCACAUCCCUGUGAAGUAACCCCUUGCUCUGUAAGAAGGCCCAAUAAAACCAUUGAUCUCACCAAGUUGGACUUCAGUGAAACCAUACUUAGGUUUGUCACUGGUGCCCAUCUGGGUGACUGGACAUUCACUUGCAUCCCCUCAGAAAAUGUUAACCCAACAAACUGGUACCCAGUGUGUGGCAAGACAGACGCAAAGGUGAGUUUGGGAAGAACAAUUAAAUGAGUUUGGGAAGAACAAUUGCAUGGUCCUGGCUCUGGGUGAACAGCCUGAGGGUGAAGCAUCCAAGGGGGAA